ACAUGCAUCUACCGUUGGAUUGCGCUACAUCGAGUCUACCCAUCUCUCUCGAUCUACCAUGAUUUUUUCUGCUAUCGCACUCAUCUGGGAGUUAGGCAUCCUCAGUCUGCCCAGAACUUUCGUUGUGGAAGGAUGUGCGGGAGUGAUGUGCGAUUUCUUGUGUCCCCUACUUUCCUUGUUUACGUUUUGCGCAGUGUUGCUUCUUCUUCCAUUGUGGAAUGAUUUAUCCUAGCAAAUUGUUGAGUUACAGGUGCAUGCGCCAUUCAUCAACGCCUACCUGUUGGCAUCAUCAACAAUCUUUAUAGUAGGUGACGGAAAGAAAUUGUUUUCCAGUUUUAAAAUAUUAAGCGUUCAGCACAACUCAGCCACAAAACAACGCACUGGAUUGCGCUAAGAACCUGUCGAAACGCGCGCAGCCCCCGGGAGCGGUAGGAGAAAGGAAGAACGAGAGGAGAAAAAACUAAAGCCAGCGCGCAGCUCUGAUGGUACCCCGUACGCGGUAAGAAGAAAAAAGAUCGAGAGGAGGAAGAACGGUAAAUUUGGAAGGGGGAGACCGUUCUGCCGUCUCCACAGUGUGAGUAUGCCAAAGCACGUGUUGGAAGGGAAAGAAAAAGUGUGGAAUAAACCGCAUGCGAAUGUGUGCAUACAGCAAAAGUAAA